CCAGUAAAUCUGAAUGUUCUCUGCUUUGUUUUCCUUAGGUUUGUGGUUAAUCCAUCUUCUUGUCAGCCCUGAAGAAGCUCCUGGUACAUGGCAGUUCUCCUGUCAGGAGGGAGCCCCAGCCCCGGCGGGACGCUGCCGUGUGUCAGACCACACCAGGAGAAGCCGUCGGAUCCCUCUCCCCGCCAGGCCCAUGGCAGUCAGUGGAGCUCGGGGGGCUGCAGCCCGGGACACCGUGUCUGCACACAGGUACCUGCUGACUCUUGCUGGGACUCCUGUGCUGUCAGUGCUGAUCCCACCCAGCUGCUGGAAGCUGUCGCUGUGUGUUCCCAGCUCCCAGGAAAGGGCAGAGCCUGGCGCUGUGGCUCCCGUGCUGCGGUUUGCAGACCCCGUCUGUCACCCAACAGUGGAUGCUGGAUUGCAAGGAAGCACCCUGCUAAUUGAAACUUGUCCAGAAGCUGGUGGUUCUCAUCCUUCUCACUAAAAGACUUUUUUUUUUUUCGUGAAAUAUGGUCUAUCAUUUGGCAUUGAGAAGCAGAAAAAAAAUCCCUGUUGUACUUGGAGGAUGUUUGAGCAUUUACACUGGAAUACCAAUGGGAAAAGGGACACAUUAACAAUAACAAUUUCCUGAGCAAAUCUCCUCCAAAGAGAACUGAUUGGAGGCUAAAAAUGGGCAAGUGCUCAGGUAUUUUUAUGACUUUUAUUUGCCAUAUGAGAGAAUGAAAAGCCCUUGGACUGUGGGUCUGUGCAGGAAAGCGGAUGAAGUGUUUUCCUUUUUUCUAUGCUUAAUGGCAUUAUUGGGCUAUUUAGCAUGAGCACAAGAAUGUUAAAGGGCUGAAUUAUUGGUAUGAGUCUGUGUCGCCCGCCCGGGGUACCCGGCUGCUGGAGGGCACUGCCGAGGAAGCGGUCAGAGAGAUUCAGAACAGGAUUAUGUGUUUAUAUGAAUGGGAGAAGCGUCUGCGGGCACGCGGAGAGGGUGGAGGAAUUAGGAGUAAUCACCGCACGCUAAUCACCAGCUGGGCAGGGGAGGAAGCCCCUCACCGCCUCCUUGGCACCGCGUGGCACUUUUGGUUGGGGACAGUGCUGAAGGGACAAAAGAAUCAUCAAUUCCCCGUCACUCUCCGAGGCCAGACGCCUGCUCCGGACUGGGAAUGCCUCCCGUCACACCACGCAGCAUAUGCCCACCACAGCUCCUCAGCCUCACCGCUCCCGACUGCGUCCCGUCCCACCCAGCUGCGUGAAGCUUAAUCUUUAAUUGAGGAUUGCCAUCCAUCAUAUAUAUUUAAUCUGAUUUCUCUCUGCAAAUUUUAAAUAAUUAACGGGCCUUUGUUAUAUAAGGAAGGCUGUUAUAAAUCAUGGGGGCUGCACCUAGAGAUUUUUGAUGGUAGCAUGCUCAAAUGAAUUCCGUCUCUCCGGGGCAAUCUGUUUCUCUAAACACCAUUCUGGAGAGGAAUGAUGCGUGGAAGAGUCAUGAGGAAAUGAAG
rnacentral:lncRNA from 1 species